AAUCACCCAAAAAAAACCCUAGCUCCUUCUCCAUCUUCUCCCCUCCACACAGCCGUCGUUCCUCCCUUAACAGAAAUAAGAUUUAACCUGAACGAGAUUUCACAUGAAUCUGCCAUGGGACUUGUCAACAGGGUGCUGGACAUGGGAUAUCUUCUGACUGAGGUCUUAAAUGGCGUGCCAAAGACAAAGUUGGAGAAAACGAGGAGUUUCCGAGCAUUUUGGAUGGAAACUGCAUACUCUACUGAAGAUACAGGUCACGCACGGCCGUGCGAUCCACGUGCACGACCGUGCAGACUCAAGACGAGCGGAAGCACCGACAGUGCAGUUGGUUUCUCAAGCAUGGACGAUCGUGCGCCACAAACGCACCCCCGUGCACCCUCUAUUCCUCGGAAGCACUCCCUGUGCGAUUAGCCAGCAGUCAUAUUCCCAGAUACGCAUGGCCGUGCACAUGAAGUGCACGGCCAUGCGCGUGAUUUGACUUUGCUGCCCAAUCAGCCACUUGCCUGACCCAUACCCUGCAGCUGACGUCAUGAUUACACUUGUCAGUGCACGGGCGUGCACUUUUAAAAACCCUAUAAAACGGAGUAGAUGCAUUCUGAUCAAUUAUUUGAUAUUUUUGCUAUCUUCUGGACGACUUCUAGGCUCCGAAAACAGCUCGCCUGGGUCAAAUUCAAGCCUUCAAGAUGCAAAGAAGCCUAAUCAUCAUCCAUUCCAUCAAAUCCUUGCUUGCUUAUGGUUUGAAUCCUUGUUCAUUCCAUAUUUUUGGUCACAUUUCAAGCAUUGAGCUGAUGUAUUAUGUAUUAUUGUAGCCUUAGGGCAAAAACACUAGUUGUUUUAUGAACAAACAUUGGUAUGUUAA